GAACGAGACCUUCGGGUCUAGUGGCGCACGGGUGCGUAACGCGUGGGAAUCUGCCCUUGGGUUCGGAAUAACAGUUAGAAAUGGCUGCUAAUACCGGAUGAUGACGUAAGUCCAAAGAUUUAUCGCCCAAGGAUGAGCCCGCGUAGGAUUAGCUUGUUGGUGAGGUAAAAGCUCACCAAGGCGACGAUCCUUAGCUGGUCUGAGAGGAUGAUCAGCCACACUGGGACUGAGACACGGCCCAGACUCCUACGGGAGGCAGCAGUGGGGAAUAUUGGACAAUGGGCGAAAGCCUGAUCCAGCAAUGCCGCGUGAGUGAUGAAGGCCUUAGGGUUGUAAAGCUCUUUUACCCGGGAUGAUAAUGACAGUACCGGGAGAAUAAGCUCCGGCUAACUCCGUG
rnacentral:rRNA from 1 species